GUUCCCGAUGACCGUUUCGAUUUGUGGGUGUGUGAGUCUUGACCAUGGUUGUGAGUUAGAGAGAGAUCUGUGAACAGGGGCUGGAUUGGCAACGGUGGUGGUGGUGGCUGUCGCCGGAAAUUUAGAGGGAGAAAGAGAAAGACAGAGAGAGAUGAGGGCGGCGGUGGUAUGCCGGCGACGCGCCGGCGAAUUUGUAGGCAGCGGCGGCGGCGUGAGAUGAGAGGAAGGGAGAGAGAGUGGCGAGAAGGAGAGAGGGAGACCGAUGGGAG
rnacentral:lncRNA from 1 species